rnacentral:rRNA from 1 species
UCCGGAAGGGGCUAGGGUUGUUCGGAAUUACUGGGCGUAAAGAGCGCGUAGGCGGCUUACCAAGUUGGGGGUGAAAUCCCGGAGCUCAACUCCGGAACUGCCUUCAAAACUGGUAAGCUCGAGUCCGGAAGAGGGGCGUGGAAUUCCCAGUGUAGAGGUGAAAUUCGUAGAUAUUGGGAAGAAAACCGGUGGCGAAGGCGGCGCCCUGGUCCGGUACUGACGCUGAGGCGCGAAAGCGUGGGGAGAAAACAGG